UACGUAGGGCGCAAGCGUUGUUCGGAAUUACUGGGCGUAAAGCGCGUGUAGGCGGUUGCCCAAGUCGGGUGUGAAAGCCUUGAGCUCAACUCAAGAAAUGCACUCGGUACUGGGUGACUAGAGGACCGGAGAGGAUAGUGGAAUUCCCAGUGUAGUGGUGAAAUACGUAGAGAUUGGGAAGAACACCAGUGGCGAAGGCGGCUAUCUGGACGGUUUCUGACGCUAAGACGCGAAAGCGUGGGGAGCAAACAGG
rnacentral:rRNA from 1 species